rnacentral:rRNA from 4 species
CAACUUUCAGCAACGGAUCUCUUGGCUCUCGCAUCGAUGAAGAACGCAGC